rnacentral:rRNA from 1 species
GUGGGGAAUAUUGCACAAUGGGGGAAACCCUGAUGCAGCGACGCCGCGUGAAGGAUGAAGUAUUUCGGUAUGUAAACUUCUAUCAGCAGGGAAGAAAAUGACGGUACCUGACUAAGAAGCCCCGGCUAACUACGUGCCAGCAGCCGCGGUAAUACGUAGGGGGCAAGCGUUAUCCGGAUUUACUGGGUGUAAAGGGAGCGUAGACGGUCUUGUAAGUCUGAUGUGAAAACCCGGGGCUCAACCCCGGGACUGCAUUGGAAACUAUAGGACUAGAGUGUCGGAGAGGCAAGUGGAAUUCCUAGUGUAGCGGUGAAAUGCGUAGAUAUUAGGAGGAACACCAGUGGCGAAGGCGGCUUGCUGGACGAUGACUGACGUUGAGGCUCGAAAGCGUGGGGAGCAAACAGGAUUAGAAACCCUAGUAGUCCC